rnacentral:ncRNA from 2 species
UUUUAAAUGUGGGGAUUAGGUACGUAAAUAGAUUUUUUAUUUAUGUUUAAUAGGGAAUUCGGUGAAAUUCCGAAGCGGUCCCGCCACUGAACGAAGCUGAGCUGUUAUUUUUAAUCACUGAUGGAAAACCAUCGGGAAGAUUUUAACAGUAUUGACGCUUUAAAGCCAGGAGACCUGCCUAAUCUAACAGCACUGU